GCCUGCGGAGAAGGCUCACCACGGGACCUUGUCCCUGCGCUGAAGGGCGCCUUGUUGUGGCUGGAGCAGUCCUGGCCUGAGCCCCGACUAAUAACAGAGCCCUUGAAACCCCUGCAGUCAGGACAGACGUCCCAGGCGAGCAGAGGCCCUGCGUGAGGAUGGGGCGGCGGGGCCAGAUGGUGUCCUGAGUAUCCAUCCUCCCUGGUGGCUGGGGACACGCUGACCAGCGUGGGGUCAGGAGCAUGGCCCCUGGAAAGACUCUGCUAACUGGAAUGGCUUAUUGUGCAAGAAAGUACACCUGGUCGGGUCCUGGGGCUCAUCUCUAGCACCAGCAAAGAUUUCUGAAGACGUCUUUCUAGAAACGACUGGAAAGUUUCAAGAGGCAUAAGAUACAGCAUUUCUUCUGAGGCCCUGAAGAAGUAUCAAGUGGGCUUUGACAUUGCGGUGGUGAGAGCGACCUUUCCUCACCUGGAGAACUGGGAAAUGUGGAUUC
rnacentral:sRNA from 1 species